rnacentral:lncRNA from 1 species
AUACCACAAAGGAUGGGGAAUAAGAGAUGCUCCCUCUGCCCCCAUGAGCCCCCUUAGCCAGCCUCCUGCCUCCUGCUUCCCAUCUCUCCAAGGGGAUCCACCCUGAGUCUGACCAGCAUCCCCGUGUUCCCUGUGGCCGGGAUCAGGCAGGGACACAGAGAUUGCUUGAGACACUUUCUGGUGACUAAUGCAGUAUACUUGAACAGGAAACAGACUGGAAAGGACUUAGGGGGAGCUAUAAAUAGCCCAUGUCCUAAAAAAAUGAACUUGGGAAGAAAUGGAAUUAACAAACUGGGAGGAGAACAAGGAGAUCACAGGCUCCAAACAAGACCAAGCUUUCUCUUGGGAAAUGAGCUUUUCUCCCAGAUGGAGCUCCAUCUGCCCUUGCAGGAUCAGCUCCCCCAAGUGUGCCCUGCUCCACCCUGGGGUUGACCAGCCAGCUCAGCCUGCCUGCCAAUAUGAUGCCUGGAAUUGUCUGUGGUUCUGGGGGCCAAGCCUUGUCAGGAUCAUCACGUAAGGGUCUCCAUCUUCCUUGCAGCACUGCUUUCUGUCCAGCCUCCCUGCAUACCCACUUCAUCACACAGGGAAUGGCAAACACUGAGCUGCUGGGGGAAAGGCCUGCAGGGCCCUUCUGAGCUUUGUCGCCAGCUCUGGGGUCAGCAGGAAAGAAUGCAGUGACUGACCAGUGAUCACUGCCUCAAGGACCACGAGAAGAGGGGAAAGCCCUGGUAUGAAUGAGCUUGUACCCUUCACCUCGCUGCGUCUUGGUUUCCUCUUUUACAUUUUUCUAAGGAUUCUUCAGUAUGGAUAUGAGGAAAUAUAAUUGUCUAAUUUCAUUAGAGAGUGGAUCCAGGCAAUGCAAGCCGAGUGCUUUGCCAGUACUAGGUGCGGUGGAGGAAAAAAUUAGAUUAUUCACAGGUUCAAAUUGAGAUUCUCACCUUAUUACUCACACAGAGAGACUAAAGGUAUCAAUUUCUGCUCUCCCCAGCCAGGCCUACCCACAGGAGCUAGAGAUAUUCAACUGCCUUAUUUAGCUUCACCCAGGCCCAGGAGCUGCUGAAAUUAGACCUGGCCUGGUAGUGGGAACCCCAUCUGGGCAGUGGGAGAGAAAGGGUUAAGAUCUGUGAUCAUCGCAUGUUCUUACUCAUAAGUGGAAGCCAAACAAUGGGAACACAUGGACACAGGGAGGGGAACAACACACACUGGGGCCUGUGGCAGGGCAGGGGGAAGGAGAGCAUCAGGUCAAAUAGCUAAUGCAUGCUGGGCUUAAUACCUAGGUGAUGGGUUGAUAGGUGUAGCAAACCACCACGGCACAUGUUUACCUAUGUAGCAAACCUGCACAUUCUGCACAUGUAUCCUGGAACUUAAAGUAAAACUAAAAAAUGUUUAAAAUAAUUAAAAAGAAAAAGAUCUGCGUUUAUGACCCAAGGUUCCUGAGAAGGCUCCCUGCCUUGGGCCUCCACCUCUGUUCUCAGCUCCAGCCUUUCCCCAGCCCAAUCUGGGUAACUGAGCUUCUGCCCCAGGUUUUCCAGUGAGCAAGAAGUCCCCUUAACCCCAUUCAGCUGGGAUUCUAUGGUCUUGCCAACUUCCCCUAUCAUUUUUCCUUUUAGACCACGCCCUAUUCCUGAAUCCAAAACCACUUCCUGCUUCAAAGAGGAAGUUCCUUCAGAAGCCAGAUGCUGUUACCCACCUGAAAACAAGUAUCUUUGGCAAAAGCCAGAGACUCCUCCUGUCAGAGCCCUGCCCACCUGCCUGAGAGCCCCUGCCAGGUCAGCAGCCAGUAUGUUAACCCCCCUGAGGGCCCUAGGCCCCCGCUACUCCUGUCCCGGCAGGUCUCAGAGCUGAGCCCAGAGGGUCACGACAGGAAGAAGGCAGAUGCCUUCCAUACUGACUAGGUUUUUGGCUUGCUUUGCACCAACAUCCUGUCUGCCCUGUUUCCUACUGAGGGCAAACUGGACUGGUUUUUAAUUAAACCCAUUCCCCCAGAGAGCUUGGGGGAGAGAUAGCCUCAUAGAAUUCCUUCAGUAGUUAUCAGAAGGAGACCCCGUGGAGGCAGAGGUUGCAGUGAGCAGAGAUCGUGCCACUGCACUCCGGCCUAGGCAACAGAGUAAGACUCCGUCUAAAAAAAAAAAGAAAAAAGAAGGAGCCAGGGUGGGGGGUGGGAACAGGAGAGAGGGAGGGGGGAAAGUGAAGUCACAAGUCCAGAGUGGUUCCUUCCUGGCUGAGCUAAUGCCCUAGCAAUGCACCUUAUGUAAUGGGCAACUCACCUGAGCGUCUGAGCCCAUAGGAGUGCCAGCCCCUCCCUGUGGUGCCUCCCCUGCAGGGCCCACAGCCACACCCUCAGUGCACACACUCUCCUUCCUAUCCAUCCACUGAUACCUGGGGAUGACCUUUGAACGAUGUCCAGCAAAUCAAGCAAAUUAAAGGCAAUCACAUCCACUGUAAUACAUCUGCUUGGUAGAACAUUUGAACAGAGAAAACAUUCCCCAGAGCUCCACCCCUAGAGAUAGUUUUUCUUUUAUUUUUUUCACCCAGGUUGGAGUGCAGUGGUGCAAUCUUGGCUCACUACAACCUCUGCCUCCCAGGCUCAAGCAGUUCUCCCACUUCAGCCUCUCGAGUAGCUGUGACAACAGGUGCAUACCACCACACCCGGCUAAUUUUUUGUAUUUUUGGCAGAGACGAAGUUUUGCCAUAUUGCCCAGGCUGGUCUCAAAUUCCUGAGCUCAGGUCAUCCACCUGCCUUAGCCUCCCAAAAUGCUGGGAUUACAGGUGUGAGCCACAACACCCGGACUUCUAGAGAUAGUUUCUAUAUUCUAGAGAUGUUUUUAUUUUUAUUUAUGUUUAACCAAAUUAAACUCUUCAGUUCUUCUUUCUGGUGCUUCCUUUGGUCUUUAGCUGAGUCCCUCUCCAAAACUAGAGGCCAUAGGGUUGCUGUGGCUUUUCCAUCCCCAUCAUAAAGGGUAGUGCUCCCUCAGUGAUUGGUUUCAGGAUUCUCCCCAAUACAAAUCAGGCCUCCAAGAACCAUGUCCCCUUCAGAGAGGAUUCCUAAGCUUCCUCCUCUUCCUCCUCUUCUUACUGCAAGGGAAAUACAAGAUCAGUCUGGAAUGGGCUUCCAGAUUCAUACAACCUCCCCCAGGACACAGAUUCCGGGAGAGAGAAGAGGAAGGCAGGUUUGGAGCCUCCACCACCACCAGUUUCCCUCACGCCCUCCUCUCUCCCUUCCCCUCUUUCUCAACUUCCUCCUUUCCCUCUCUUCCUUCUAUGAUCUGUCCCUGCCCCUCUGUCUCCUCUUCCUUUCCUUCCUUCCUCCCUUUUCUCCUCCCUUCCUUAGCAGGCAGCAAUGAGCAGGUGGCACUGAACUUAGAUUCCACCAUCACAGGUGGGUAGAUCUUGGCUCACAAGCCUGUCAUUGACUAGCUAAGUAGCCCUGAUUGGAGGAGUCAUUUUAUUUCCCUGAGCCUUUGUUUCUCAUCUGCAACAUGGAGAUUUUACUCACCACCGUGGUGCAGACAAAGUAGGACAAAGUAUCCUUUAACCCAGGGCUUGACACGUGACACUCAUCAAACAUUGCUGAGCUCUAAUCUGCAUCAGGAUAUGGUAAGUGUCUACUGGGUGCUGGGACAAAAGGUACAGAUGGGAGCAAGGCAGAGAUCCCUAAACAGACCUCUGUUGUGAUCUUUGUUGUAAUACAUGGUAAUUAUUUGUUUCCAAAAAGAGGUGGAAGGAGACAUAGAUAGCUUCUACCGCCAGGCAUUCAGGCACCAGCUGUGAAGGCCUUCUGCACAUUGAAAAACUCAGAGUAGCCUGGUGGCUGGAAUGAAAAGUCAACACCAGUUCCCCCAGCAAAAUAUUUCUCCAUUCAGCCUUUUCGGCUCAUUGGUUUGCCUGAAAUCAGUUGUUUCUCCCUGGGGAAGCAAUCUUUAAAAUGGUGAGGAGAGUGUGCAUCUGAUGUGCCUGCACUUGUGCCUGUGAAACAGGGUAGGCUCAGAGCUCCGUGCAGGCCCAUGAAGUCCCCUCAGAGACACCAGUGUUGGGUUGUCAUAGGGUCCCAGAAAAUGCCUGUCUGCUUCGUGAGAUUUAGGCUGGGUGCACAGAGGUUUCACUUGGUGUGCCUGACUUAUUUAGGGGCUGCCUGAAGUGCCAUGUGAGAAAGGAGGCUGAGGGCGUUGGGUUUGGAGGAAGAGAGCACUAGGGUGGAUUAGCAGUAUCUGCUGCAAGUGGAAUUUGGAGGGGAUAGAAAUCGUGCGUUCAGCUUAUUUGGCAUCUCUGGGUUGGCCUCACUUUGGCAGUUGGUUCCUGCUGGCUGGGCUCUGCUCACACGCAGUGAGAGGUCUCUCAGAGGCUCUUUGUUCUGCUGCUGGGGAUGCCUUGGGAAUGAUGCCCUGGGGUGCACUGCCACAUCCCACACAAAAGGUCUCCUUAGCUGGAGAGCCUUACCAGGUGCAUGGAGGGGAAGACGCGGUACCAUAAAGAUGAGGAUUCCUCUCAAAGUAAUAUAUGCAUUGAAUGAAAUGCCUACUUCAGUAAGGAAUUUCCCAAAGCUUUACAAGCUAAUUCUAAAAUUCACAUGGAAGAGAGGCCAGAGAAUAGCUUAAAUUACUUUGAACAAGGAGGGGAGACUUAGCUGCCAGCUAUUAAAAUCCAUUAUUAAGGCACUGAUGUUAAAGAAUCACCACACAAAUAGACAAACAGACAUUGGAGCAGAAGACAGGGAACAGAAAGACGCUCAUAUGUAUCUGGAUAACAUUGACAGGAAAAUCAAAUUGUAAUGUCACAUACAGGAGUCUUCAUGAAGGUAAGAUGUUUAAAAACAUUUUUAAAAGUAUAAAACAUUGUUUAGAAAUAUACGCCUUUGUAGUAAAUGUGUAAAAACACGCAUUAGAAUGAUGAACACCAAAUUCCAGAGAAAGGGAAUGGAUCCCUGUGGGGCACAGAGUGUGCAUUAACUAUGUUUAUGUCUUUAAAGGAAGAAAAUAUUUGAAGCAGAUAUGGCAAACGGAGAAGAUUCAUGAAAGCUGGAUGGCCGGCGCAUGAGCGUUUGCGGUGUCAUACUUUGUUUCCUUAUGUUUGAAAUAUUAGCAUGGCUGGGCAUGGUGGCUCACGCCUGUGAUCCUAGCAUUUUGGGAGGCUGAAGCUGGGGGAACACUUGAGGUCAGGAGUUCAAGACUAGCCUGGGCAACAUAGUGAGACCUCAUCUCCAAAAAAAAAAAAAAAAAAAGAAAGAAAGAAAAUGAAACAUUAGGGAAAAAAAAUCCCCCAUGUGCCUGGUCUGCCGGAUUCCCCCAGUAGCCUGGUUAUGGCUUGGGAGGGGAAAAGGAGGGGUGUUUUUGUCUAUUUCUCACAUAUGACACUCAAUGACUUCACAAUCAUUAAUUCAUCACCCACUAAGGGUCAUGCACUGAGGUACCAAGACUAAUGAAGGUCCGGCCCUCCCCAGUGUAGGAGGCAGGUAAAUGAUCACACUGUGACAAAUGCUCAAACGGGGAUGUGCUUGCAAAGGCUAGAGACAGCACGGGAGGAAGGAGCAGUCCAUUCUGCUGAGAGUGUGAGUACCGAGAAAGCAUGGCACUGGGCUUGAAGGAUGAGGAGUUCGCCAGACACAGAGGAUGAGGAGAGCAGCACGUGAGUAAAGAAAACAGAGAAAGGAACUCUCUGUCAUGUUGUGGGCUGGAGGGCAGCAUUCACACUGGACAAGUGCUUCAGAAAGAUCCUUCUGGCAGGUAGUGGGCAGAAAAAUGAGUGAAGUCAGAGCGAUCGACUAGGAAUCCACUGAAAGUGGAUUUAAAUGAGAGGUGAUGAAAAACUCAGCUACAGCUGGGCGAGGUGGCUCACACCUGUGAUCCCAGCAUUUUGGGAGGCCGAGGUGGGCGGAUCACAAGGUCAGGAGUUUAGGACCAGCCUGGCCAACAUGGUGAAACCCUGUCUCUACUAAAACAAACAAACAAACAAAACUCUCUCUAUAUAUAUGUAUAAU